CCACUAAUACAGAACUAAUCAAGUCAGCACAGAUUUGAACUUUAGACUGAAAAGCCCUCUGUGUGUCGUUCUGAACAGACUGAGAAAACAUGCAUAACUUGAAAUACUACUAAUAAAUAUUAACUUUAUAAGCAACCAGGACUCUAUUAUGCUGAGUAUCUGUGACAAAAUCAGUGUUUCAUUCUGUAGGAGUCUAAAGAUAUUUCCGGCAGAUCAAAAUGAAAUUAUUAGACUUUAUUAUAUGUCCUCUAGAUGACUCUGACAUUGUCUGUGACAGUGAACGGUUUACAGUAAAGUAAAGUUUGUUUUUAAUAAGGAUGAACAAACACUAUGAAAAAUAAGUCAUUCCUGUUCAUUUAAAUAUCAUAAUACGAAUAUAAAAGAAGACUAGAGAAGUACUAUUUAAAUGGAAAGAAAAUACUUUUUAAAUGGAAGUUAAAUCAAAGAAACAAAAUGAUCAGUCAACAAAAACCUGCGUUCUUCAAACAAAUUGCUUUGUCAUUGUUUAUAACCCUUGGAUUUAAUGUUUGUUGCUGUAGCUUCACUGUAGAUGAAUCAUUACAAUACAGCAUCUGUGUUAUAUAACGAGUUCUGCUUGUUUUUUUUCUCUCUCAGACCCAAAUCCUUCAGAGAUUAAGCUAAUGGAGAGUGCAGCGGAGAACAACGUAAUGAAUGGACAAAACCAAGAUAACCAGGACACACGUUAAUGACCACGACCUUCUUUGAAACGGAGAACAGCAGUGGUUUAUAGUAACUGUACACAUGAAGGAAAAUAUACGCGUGAACCGUUUGAGCUUGAAACCCUUUUAUUUGCUUUGGCAUAAAUAGAGAAGCGUUCAUUAUAUGAAGAAGCUGAUAUAACAGAUCGCUGUUUGCGCUGAGUCUGAUAUUGCACUAUUAUUAAAUUUUUAUUACAUUUCUAGUUUGACUGAUUUGAAGUGAUGAUGUUACACCGUGAAGUAGCUUGAUUGUUACGCCUGAAGUAUUUUUCUUGUUUUUAUUUGAUGUUCUUCUGUUGUUACAUCACACAUGGGCUUUGCCUGAAGUGUUCAUGGUCAAAUAUUUUGUAUUUGAAAUAUUGUACCUAGAUCAUUAUAUAUGUUUCAUAUGUGUCUUUCACCUGAUAAGAUGUGAAUGUGAUCUCUGAAGUGUGUUCUGAAUUUCUGAAGAUGUUUUGCUGAAGACUGAUAUCACGUUUUAAACGGGAUGAAGAUUUAUUUUCUUCUGCUUUUUGCUUCAUUUAUAAACCAAUGCGAAAAUGCCUUACAGUUGACUGUUAGUUUUAAGAAAAUAAAACGCUGAGUGACUCUUUA